rnacentral:rRNA from 1 species
AGUGAACGCUGGCGGUAGGCCUAACACAUGCAAGUCGAACGGCAGCACAGUAAGAGCUUGCUCUUACGGGUGGCGAGUGGCGGACGGGUGAGGAAUACAUCGGAAUCUACUUUUUCGUGGGGGAUAACGUAGGGAAACUUACGCUAAUACCGCAUACGACCUACGGGUGAAAGCAGGGGAUCUUCGGACCUUGCGCGAUUGAAUGAGCCGAUGUCGGAUUAGCUAGUUGGCGGGGUAAAGGCCCACCAAGGCGACGAUCCGUAGCUGGUCUGAGAGGAUGAUCGGCCACACUGGAACUGAGACACGGUCCAGACUCCUACGGGAGGCAGCAGUGGGGAAUAUUGGACAGUGGGCGCAAGCCUGAUCCAACCAUACCGCGUGUGUGAAAGAGGCCUUCGGGUUGUAAAGCCCUUUUGUUGGGAAAGAAAAGCAGCAGGUUAAUACCCCGCUGUUCUGACGGUACCCAAAGAAUAAGCACCGGCUAACUUCGUG